UUUCCGUAGGUGAACCUGCGGAAGGAUCAUUAGUGAAUAUUAGCGCAUCUACUUGUAGAGCGUGACCUCCACUUUCUAACUCUGUGCAUUUAUUGGCGGAAGAACUAGAGUAACCGAAUUCUUCUGCGGCUCAUUUUAUAACACUAGUUAAAGUAUGUAACGAAAUAUCGAAACAAAAAAAAACUUUCAACAACGGAUCUCUUGGUUCCG
rnacentral:misc_RNA from 1 species